ACGGCAGUUCGAGUUCAGCGUGGAUUCCUUCCAGAUCAUCCUGGAUUCGCUGCUGCUGUUU
rnacentral:ncRNA from 3 species